rnacentral:lncRNA from 1 species
GCUCUCUAGAGCACCAGGAUUCUGUGUGAAGAAUACAGAGACAGACGUUCCAUUUCAAAGAAAAAAGAGCAACACGAAGGCCCUCUUUAAGGAGAGAGUAAACAUUCACUUUAGGUAAAAAAUAGUCUUUUACACGCCUGUGCACGGCACACCUCUUUUGCUGUUCACCUUGAGCCCAAGAGUUUGGAAAGGCUGCCCCCAUUUCAGAGAGGAAGAAACGCAGGCACACGUGAAUGACAGACUCCUCUGUGGUGGCCUAGACUCCAGCCAACACUUCCUAGGACAGCCUGCCAUUGUGCAAAGUCACCAUGUAACAAAUGCAGACAUCUCUGAGAUC